rnacentral:lncRNA from 1 species
GAAACACGAGGUUCACACAUUGCGUCACGUGCAUUUCUUUGGGAUUCCAGUGUCUUGCGCAUGCGAUGAAACGUAGGAUACAACGUGCUACGAGAAACUCGUGAACGAAACGAACCUACCGUUUACACCGUCUCUCCGCCGUUCACCGCAGGAUAGUUCCACUGCUGCAAACACCCAGUCACGCACACUUUCACCGACAAACAGAGACGUCUACGUAUAAGUAAACGGAGGAAAAAAUGAUACUUCUAU